rnacentral:tRNA from 1 species
GCUUAGAUAGCUUAAAUAUAGAGCAUAGCACUGAAGAUGCUAGGGUGACAGAUGUUGUCUCAAAGCA